UUAACCCACUGAGCCACCCAGGUGCCCCUGAAGUAAGAAGUCUUUAAAACCACUUAAAAGUUACUUAAGUAGACAUCUGCAAUACAGGCCAGCAGAUGAAG